rnacentral:misc_RNA from 1 species
CAGUGUGGAUGGUCUGUGCGAGCCCGUAGGAUGUGCUGACGAGGGGCCGCGUCCGGGCGCUGGCGGCGAGCGGAGGAGAGGAGGAUAUGAACCCAUGGAUGGUGAUGUUAUUCUGUCUGUUGGGCCUCUUUGGCAUGGGUUUCGUCAUCUGGGCAGCAGUUUACAUCUAUCUCAAGAACUGCUACUAACGAAGACCUCAUCUCUCUCUCAAUCACGCUCUGGCACUUCCUGAAAUGGUGGUAGUGGACUAACUGCAACUGGGCUGGUAGUGCUACUACUAGCCAUUAUAGGUAUAGGUGUUGGAUUAUAUUAUGCCUAUAUAUGCCUUAGAGCUCGACCACUCCGUCCCCGACAGCCCCCAGACUCAGAACACGGCCCCUUGAUAUCACCAGAUCCAGAUGUAAAUGGGAACCAUGAGGAUGUCCCUCUUGAGGCUUCAGCCCCUACUGAUGAAGAGGAUCCAGAAAAAGUUAAGAAAAUAAUAGAGGAACCCAACACUAAGAAAGACCCUGCAGACCCACCUGCCUCUGAUAGCCCUAAAGAUUCCAAAACUCCCAAUGGAUACCCUAAGGAAAAAGAUGAAGUCUUUGUGCCUGUUGAGGAAGUAGUU